rnacentral:rRNA from 1 species
GUCCACGCCGUAAACGAUGGAUACUAGCUGUUGGGGGUAUCGACCCCCCAGUAGCGAAGCUAACGCGUUAAGUAUCCCGCCUGUGGAGUACGGUCGCAAGACUAAAACAUAAAGGAAUUGACGGGGACCCGCACAAGCGGUGGAUUGUGUUCUUUAAUUCGAUGAUAAACGAAGAACCUUACCAGGGUUUGACAUCCCAAGAAUUUUGACGAAAGUCGAGAGUGCUUUAUUGAACUUGGUGACAGGUGAUGCAUGGCCGUCGU